UUCAGGGACACUGCUGUGUGAGAAAGGACUAGAAAAAGAAUCAGAACAUUACAAGUCUUCCCCGCACUCCAGAAAAGUACUUUGCAUGGUCUUCUGAAGGCUUUACAGAAAAGAGAAAGAACCCGAAGCAGAAGGAAUUUCCUCAAGGUCAUACAACAUAGGAAUGCCUGCUUAUAUGUGCCUGCUCUGGACAAAAGGGAAAUGCACAGCAGACAGCUCCUACUAAUCAUCU
rnacentral:lncRNA from 14 species